rnacentral:rRNA from 1 species
AACGCUAGCUACAGGCUUAACACAUGCAAGUCGAGGGGCAGCACUGAGGAAGCUUGCUUUCUCUGGUGGCGACCGGCGGAUGGGUGAGCAACGCGUAUCCAACCUGGCCUGCGCGCGGGGAUAGCCCUUGGAAAUGAGGAUUAACACCCGAUACGCCUUUUGCCCGCAUGGGCAUUUGGUGAAUCUUGCGCAGGAUGGGGAUGCGUUGGAUUAGCUUGCUGGUGAGGUAACGGCUCACCAGGGCUCCGAUCCAUAGGGGUUCUGAGAGGAAGGUCCCCCACACUGGCACUGAGACACGGGCCAGACUCCUACGGGAGGCAGCAGUGAGGAAUAUUGGUCAAUGGGCGGAAGCCCGAACCAGCCAAGUAGCGUGCAGGAUGACGGCCCUACGGGUUGUAAACUGCUUUUGCGGGAGGAUAAAACGCCCCACGUGUGGGGCCUUGCAGGUAUCCCGCGAAUAAGGACCGGCUAAUUCCGUGCCAGCAGCCGCGGUAAUACGGAAGGUCCGGGCGUUAUCCGGAUUUAUUGGGUUUAAAGGGAGCGCAGGCGGAGAUGCAAGCGUGCCGUGAAAUCGCGGGGCUCAACCCCGUCCAGCGGCGCGAACUGCAUCCCUUGGUUGCGGGAGAGGAAGGCGGAACUCGUGGUGUAGCGGUGAAAUGCAUAGAUAUCACGAAGAACUCCGAUUG